GGGGUUGACUGGAUUUGACAGCGGGUAGAAAUGGUAUGUAAGCAUGCAGUGCGUCGGUGAUUAGCACUUUAAUCUCAGUUAUCAAAAAUUUAUCUGGCAACGAAAAUUACGCUCUCGCUGCUUAAUCGAAGUAUAGUAGAUUAACUUUAUUUCUACCACAGUGGUAGAAACGAGACGUCACUCAAAAGCUCUUGUUCCGAGGCGUUUGGCAAAGUGGCGCAGUAAAAUCGGAAAUAGUUUGAGUCUUUCCUCACGGCUCUUACGAAACUUAAGAGGAUAAGGUGCAAGUUGGUGGCUCUGGUCUUGCUUGCAUUCGAAAAUCGAAGGCAGAGAUAAGCAUGUAGAAAGCAUAUGGUUUCCUCGUUUGGACGAGGGUUCGAUUCCCUCCAGCU
rnacentral:tmRNA from 1 species